rnacentral:rRNA from 1 species
GAUGAACGCUGGCGGCGUGCCUAAUACAUGCAAGUCGAGCGAACAGACGAGGAGCUUGCUCCUCUGACGUUAGCGGCGGACGGGUGAGUAACACGUGGAUAACCUACCUAUAAGACUGGGAUAACUUCGGGAAACCGGAGCUAAUACCGGAUAAUAUAUUGAACCGCAUGGUUCAAUAGUGAAAGACGGUUUUGCUGUCACUUAUAGAUGGAUCCGCGCCGCAUUAGCUAGUUGGUAAGGUAACGGCUUACCAAGGCAACGAUGCGUAGCCGACCUGAGAGGGUGAUCGCCCACACGGGAACUGAGACACGGUCCAGACUCCUACGGGAGGAAGCAGUAGGGAAUCUUCCGCAAUGGGCGAAAGCCUGACGGAGCAACGCCGCGGGAGUGAUGAAGGUCUUCGGAUCGUAAAACUCUGUUAUUAGGGAAGAACAAAUGUGUAAGUAACUAUGCACGUCUUGACGGUACCUAAUCAGAAAGCCACGGCUAACUACGUG